AACUGCACGGUAUUACAAAUGCCGUAUGACCGAUGUUUGACUUUACGCUGCUUAACGCAAAGCAUACCUCAGACAGCAAAACACCGUUUGAUUGCUAUCCCUGAAUCGCAACCUAGGCCGACAUUAUCGAAGGAAGCCCUCUUCCAGACCCGCGGUUCCAAUCGAGCACUGAAAAGCCGUUCGACGAGCUGAACGGCUUUGCAAUCACAUUUGACACUUUACUUUAAAUACCUAGGCACGAUCCUAGUAAGACAGCUACAACCAGCGGGCCGUUUGCAAAGCCUUUCGCUUACAAUCCUUCCAAGCCAUAAUGCGCAACCACCACAACUAUCUCCAUCUGUAACCUCCUCCAUGUUCAGCCCAUCUACUCAGCAUUACCAUCGCAACCGCCUCCCUUUUAAGCCAAAGGCCAUCCUGCUCGUGUCCUCUUUCAAAAAGGCGACUGGGCCCACUAAAUGCAUGCGUUUCAUUGUGGCCACGUGACAAGUAAGGUCUCUGUACGCAUGUGGAUGCCAAGUGGCCCAAGGGCUAGGAAAAUGCACAAGGCAGGGUUCCCAGGAACAAACGGAUUUGAAGCCCGCCGUCCAUAACGACCCGCGCCCCCCUAUGCCGUACGUUGUAUGACAGGGGCCAGCUUCUACCCCGGCAAGCUUUAAAAUAGUCCUAGUCUGAGCCCACGCAGACGGAGCGCGUGAUCCAAGAUAAUGGAGCGAUCCUCCGUCGAUGCUCACCACACAGCCACCCAGAGUGUGCGUAUGCUUGUAUGUACGUAUUAUUUAUGUGUGCAUACAUGUCGCGGACCUAUGAGCUACCAGCACUCGCAGCUGUGGCGGUAUGUGGGCCGCCUGUGCUCAUACCGAUACCUGUCUUUAUGCAUGACAUGUAGGUGUGUAUGUGCACGUAUCGCCGCCAUCAGCACACCCGGGUCUCCCCAGAGGGGAGUUCUUCCGCUUCUCCUCCACCUCCUCCUCCUCCACCUCCUCCUCCUCCACCUCCUCCUCGCCUCCAGAUCAGAGCCCAGCCCCAGUACCUAGGAGAUUCCAAACUUCAACAUCAACAACAAAAAAGACAUCUGCCUCCUCCCUCUCACGCCGCCGCCAUAUUCCGUCGCCUCCUCCUCUUUUUCGACGCCGCUCAACUGUCAAACCCUCUCCUCUCCUGCGACACACCCCUCCCCCCUCUUUCUUCUACGAGCCCAGUAUCUCAUCCAACGCCGGC
rnacentral:lncRNA from 1 species